rnacentral:rRNA from 1 species
GGUGAACGCUGGCGGCGUGCCUAAUACAUGCAAGUCGAGCGAACGGACGAGAAGCUUGCUUCUCUGAUGUUAGCGGCGGACGGGUGAGUAACACGUGGAUAACCUACCUAUAAGACUGGGAUAACUUCGGGAAACCGGAGCUAAUACCGGAUAAUAUUUUGAACCGCAUGGUUCAAAAGUGAAAGACGGUCUUGCUGUCACUUAUAGAUGGAUCCGCGCUGCAUUAGCUAGUUGGUAAGGUAACGGCUUACCAAGGCAACGAUGCAUAGCCGACCUGAGAGGGUGAUCGGCCACACUGGAACUGAGACACGGUCCAGACUCCUACGGGAGGCAGCAGUAGGGAAUCUUCCGCAAUGGGCGAAAGCCUGACGGAGCAACGCCGCGUGAGUGAUGAAGGUCUUCGGAUCGUAAAACGCUGUUAUUAGGGAAGAACAUAUGUGUAAGUAACUGUGCACAUCUUGACGGUACCUAAGCAGAAAGCCACGGCUAACUACGU